UUACGGCCAUAUCACGUUGAAUCACCGGUUAGCGUACGAUCACAGAUACUAAACAACGUCGAGCUUAGUUAGUACCUAGAUGUGUGAUCGCUUGGGCAUAGCAGGGGCUGUAAG